rnacentral:lncRNA from 1 species
GAGAGCACGCAUGAUUAUCUCUGCUGUCCUUCUCUGACCAAGCUGCUGUCUCUUGGCUGUGGAAGAUUCUGAAGGCUAGUUAUCACAGGUCAACUUUGAUGAUUUCUGGGCUCUGUCACACGGAUCAGACUGGCCUCACUUUAGAAAUGGUUCCCUGGAUGACCAAAAUAUCAAAUUCCUUUAAAAUUGUCCUGAGCCCUUCGUACCACAGAGCCAUUAUUAACUUAUUGCCAGAGACUAUAAAAUAGAGUAUUGCUUGGUUUACGCAUUGUGUUUGCUGUUUUGCCUCUCAGUGAAAUAAAGCAACUGCUCCACACCUGC